rnacentral:lncRNA from 1 species
GAGCGAACAAGAGGGCCUGGAGUCAGAUGAGUGAGAAAAUGACAUGAGCUCAGAGGCGCGCACUCACGUGAGUGUGAGCUGUGUUCCUUUUCUUUUCUGAAGACAUUGGAAUUGUCCGGUUGGAAUAUUACUGAAGAUUUAUGUUAAAAACAUCCUAAAGAUUGAUGCUAUACAUCGUUUGACAUAUUUCUACGAACGUAAAUAUAACUUUUUUUACAUUUCGUCGUGACAUUUUCGCACGCUUCCUGCAUUUGGAGUAGUGGACUGAAUGCGCGAACAAAAAGGAGGUAUUUGGACAUAAAUUAUGGACUUUAUCGAACAAAACAAACAUUUAUUGUGGACCUGGGAUUCGUGGGAGUGCAUUCUGAUGAAGAUCAUCAAAGGAUCUGCGAGGGAAUACCGGUGGCGAGUUCCGUGUGAAGGCAUGAGGGAAAUUCCCAUCUGACCAAAGAGGACGUGGACCCGCCCAGACCAGACUUUUACUGUGAGCUUCCCGGGGAAAGAUACCUGAUCUGCGAACCUCUGAGGGACAUGUCUAUUGAAUUUCAGACCUGAGCCCUAGGACCAUGCCUCAGGACUACCUGGCAUGAUGACUACUUGCUGUCCCCAGUCCACCUGGCCGUGCUGCUGCUCCAGUUUCAACUGUUCUGCCUGCGGCUAUGGAACCCUGACCUGUUCACCGGACGUGCUUGUUGCACCCUCGACAACUACUAUGAUUAUUAUUAUUUGACCAUGCUGGUCAUUUAUGAACAUUUUAACAUCUUGACCAUGUUCUGUUAUAAUAUCCACCCGGCACAGCCAGAAGAGGACUGGCCAC